UUCAUGCGCCACAGUCCCCUGAUCGUGCGCCAGAAAAAUUAACAGCUCCGGAAGAGGAGAGUAAUGAAAAAAAUAAAAAUAUAUAUAUAUUUUUCUAUGCAUAUGUUUUCAGAGGUCUAUGCGAUAUUGCAGACUUGUUUUAACCCCUGAAUAAAUAUUUUACAGAUAUAGCGAAUGAUUUAAUUCAGAACCCAAGCCUGGAUAACAUUCAGCAGAACUGUACCAGUUCAGUGCAGGAAGAGUUGGCACCGCCCGGAACCGUUCAUAUACCCCGUGUAUGGAAGGCAACGUUGAUGGUGGAACAGAUUUCAUCGAGACCCGGACAGCAACAGCGCAGACAGAGAGUUUCCCUAUCCUUACGUGACCGUUGUAAUAAAGCAUCAAGUUUAACGUUCUGGCUGCAAGUCAGACACUGUUACUGAAACAUUGCGCUGAUAUCAAGGGCUGGAGGCUGCACCGGCGACCGGUGACCUGCAGAGGGCGCUGGGUGACCACCCACCAACUCCGGGGAAAGGAGGCCAUGC